UAGUCAUCAACCACACUGUGUGGGAGAGCUGUGGUCUGAGCUGAGUGGCCAGAGAUGAGCUGGAAGAGCCAAGAGGCUGACUUCAUCUCCACCUGGUCCAGAAAGGGAGACCGAGAGAAGAGGCCUAUAUCCAGAAUCUGAAGAUCCUUUCAGGAUGUGGCUUUUGGGAGUUUUCUCAUCUGUAAAAUGGAGAUUCUGAUCAUAGCUCUCCUGCUUGCCUCAAUGAACCAUUUGGUGAAUCCAGUGAGGGACUUUAUUUAUUGAAUACCUACUGAAUCGUUGACUUAUCUGGGUGUAAGCUCUGGAGCCUGGGAAGUCCGAUGUCAAAGAGCCAGCAGAUUCUGUAUCUGGGAUGGAAGGGGAGACUCACAGGUGCAGAGCUGUGCAUACCUUGGUAAUCUUGGGGUCUCAUCUAUUCGUUGAUAGAAGCCACAUUCUCCAACUGCAGAGGGUCAUCUUUUGCAGAAGGCACUAUAUUCAUCCUGGGCCAGCCUAGUUCCUUUACAAUCAGAAAUCAGAACACAGUAAAGAAUGGACUUGUUCCAGAGCUCAGCGAGAGUGUUGGCAAGGCUCAUGAGGGAAAACAGCAGUAAGAAGAGAACCAGAGAGAAGCAGGGCUCUCAGCAAGUGCACCUGCUGCAUCCGUGGCACUCAUAAACGUUCCUCCAAAAACUGCUCAUAGAAGAUUUCAAAGAGAGACUGGGUGAACAUCAUCCUGAGAAUGUUUCCAGUAACGAGAGAAAACAACAACAACAAAAAACAAAUAAAGGCUAUGUUAUGGGGAACUAAUGGUGGUGCUGGGGACUAGUUAGGAAUUGUUACAUUUGCCCCUGGAUGGACUUGUGACCUCAAGUGUUCUCAGGAUGCUGGCUCUGGGACAUUGGGUCUCACCUACUCAUCCGAUGGUGCAGUUAUGCCCUUAAGGUCACUUGCUGUAGGGGUAUGCAAGCAGACAUACCCAUGAGGACACUUGAACAGACCGUGGAGAGCCCCAUAUGUUGAGGAACAGCCAGCACUGUCUUCCCAGUCAUGUGAGUCAACCGCCUGGGAAGCAGAUCCUCCGGCCCCAGCUGAGCCUUCGGAUGACUGUAGGUCUGCCUGAUAUCUUAACAACCUCACGAGAGACCCUGAACCAGAACAGUACCCACCCCCAAAUUUCUUACCUACCAAAACUAUGACAGGUAAAAACAUUUAUUAUUGCCUAAGCCACGGAGCAAUAGAUUAACUAAUACACAGUCAUGUGUGCUAUUCCUGCCUUCCAUCACUUCUAUUACAUAUUUUUUUUUCAGUUUUGUGGAAUUACAACUAAUACAAUUAUAAGAAUGCAAAAGUGUACAUAGUGGUGAUUUGAUAGACGUCUACAUUGUGAAAGUGUGUAUACUAUCUAGCACAUUAAUACCAUCAGCUCACAUAUUUAUAUCUUUGUGUGUGUGAGAACAUUUAAGUUCUAGUCUCUUAUCAAAUUUUAAUUACAUAAUAUAAUGUUUUCAACUAGGGUCACUACGUUUUAUAUUCAAUCCUCAGAUUUUAUUUAUCUUCUAGCUGGGAG